rnacentral:rRNA from 2 species
UGGGGAAUAUUGGACAAUGGGCGCAAGCCUGAUCCAGCCAUGCCGCGUGAGUGAUGAAGGCCUUAGGGUUGUAAAGCUCUUUCAGUGGGGAAGAUAAUGACGGUACCCACAGAAGAAGCCCCGGCUAACUUCGUGCCAGCAGCCGCGGUAAUACGAAGGGGGCUAGCGUUGUUCGGAUUUACUGGGCGUAAAGCGCACGUAGGCGGAUUGGUCAGUUAGAGGUGAAAUCCCGAAGCUCAACUUCGGAACUGCCUUUAAUACUGCCAGUCUAGAGUCCGGAAGAGGUAAGUGGAACUCCUAGUGUAGAGGUGGAAUUCGUAGAUAUUAGGAAGAACACCAGUGGCGAAGGCGGCUUACUGGUCCGGUACUGACGCUGAGGUGCGAAAGCGUGGGGAGCAAACA